AGAAAGUUGCAUGCAGCGUAAACGGAAGUGGACGCAAUUUGUGAUGGUUGCGCAACUGUGCAUCAUUGUGAGUCUCGACCACCGUUAAAACGUGUAGUCCGUAAGGUCAUGCCUGGGUAUGUUUCUAUAGUUCCACAUGAAUGAAGCUAGUAACUAUACACAGUUGUUGAAUAGUAGGCGGUCUCUCCAACAGUAGUGAUCUACACUCAUCUGGUUAACGAAUGGAUCGUUCACUACAGCUGUAAAGCCGAACAUAAGGAAUCACUAUUUCAAUAAGCAAGGUGAUGGGUGAUCUUCGUCGUCAUCGUGAUUAGUUUGUUCUGCUGUGAGACCGAAAGCCACAGUGAACCACUCAUGUCCCGACACAGUAAAAUGCAAAAGCAGGUUCUGGCCUUGUAUCGCCAGUUCCUCCAAGCGGGACGGGACAAACCAGGCUUCAUCCCCCGCAUCCGAGACGAGUUCAGGGAGAACUCCCGGAUCAAGAAGAAGGACGUCAUGCACAUCGAGUAUCUGUUCCGUCGGGCCCAGAGGCAACUGGAGCAGCUGAGGGACGUCAACACCAAACAGCUGGGCUCCUUUUCCAAACCUAAAACAGACAGAUGACCUAGUGAACGCAACUUUGAAGGUCCCCUCCCCGCACCCUCAUGUUGUUGUUGUUGUUGUUGUUGUUGUUUCCUCAAGGAAACAAGUUGUAUUAUACCAAUUCUUGGGAGAGGGGGUCUUUUAUUCUGUGAUUGCAGUGUUCACCGAACAUUGGUAUACCGUUCGCGAUUCUCCCAGUUGAGAUGCCCUCAAAGUGUGAGAACUAGGAGAUGCAAUGUGGGAAAGACAUUUAGUUUAAAUGUGUAUUUCAUUUGCAUUUAGGUGCGAUGAUACAAUAUAGAAUAUUGUCUUUGGUCGACAAUGAAUGUGGCUGAUCCUCUGCUGUUUUCAUUCAGGUCCUUUAUUGUCCUUGCUAUAAAACUAUAAAAAAAGUAGCAUUGUUUUAGAAAAUAAACUCGUAUUUAAACCAAAAUAUUGUUUUAUCCUGUGAUUUAAUUAAUAUUUACAUAAACACAUUUUGUAUAAUAUAAAUACAUAAUCUGUGAGGUUUUAACAUGCAUUGUGUCGGAUCUCUAUGUAGGCAUUCUUCUGAACCGGACAAAGGGGUAAAAAAAUAUUUUACGAAUUCCCACUUCGUCCACCUGAGGGCAACAGAACGGGACCCGGCGACGGAAGAGGAACUCGACGUAAACAGGAAGCACAGGGAGUGGAGGAAAACAACAUCGAACGCCAACCAAAGACGGAUCCCAAUUAAAUAUAUUUAUUCCCUACAAAUAGCGUCGUUCAAUCUGUAAAUAAUUUGUUUUGGUUGCUACAAGUUAUGUCGGGGUCAGCGAAUACCACCGACGGGAUGUCGAAUCCUCAGUUAUUCCAGCAGAUGGCCUUCCUGAACUGGCUCUCAACACAGAGUGACAGCAGUAGAGAAACCCUGAUGACCUUAACCGGCAUCGGUGUGGCCAGAGAGCUGUUCAACCGCCUCACAGGACAGGACAGAGUGGACUACUUUAAGAAAGAAUGUAUCCGGAGCAUUGCAGAGUUUGUCCAGACACAUCCGCGGGCGUCUGAGCCCGAGCUCAGCGCUGAGGUGAACAAGAACGUUCUGCUGUUCGCUGCGCGGGUGAAAGCACUGGAGUCCGCGCCAAUAUUCUGAAACACGCACAAACAUAUACACAUCUCGUACAGCCCAUCGUGCGGCAUAUAAACAAAUAUGAUUUUUUUUUGUUAUUUGUUCCUUUUCCAAGAACAGGAUUACAGCUGAAAAUGUAUUUCAAAUAACUCUGUUGAUCCAGGCAACUACCCAGCCGCGUUGGUAGGAAGUGGCAGAAUACGGCAGUGUCUAUAUUCCAUCAAUGUACCUUUUUAUGCCAUUGAAAAUAUAUUUUCUGACCCCACUGAGAUUUGCUGUUCUGCUGGUUUAUGCCCAUUGCUUAACCCCUUUUACUGUUGCACGAGCCCCAGUAUUGAUCUGCUGUUUCCCAGUAAAAUCUCAUGCUAGACAGUGGAUUAUUUACAUUGAUACCGCGAGGGCUGGAGGGAUUUUUGUGCUUAUCCACAAUGUCGAAGCAACGCAGGUCAGAGUCAGAUGCGGCACGGCGCGCACAUUAGUGUCUGUGCAUGGCUAUGUGCAAGUCAUAGCCUGUGCAUCUCGGCCCCCAUGCAGCAAUCUGUAUCGGCGUACAAAGGAAAUUCAGGAUGGAACAAUGAUAAUACGACAGGACCAACGUAUCUUGGAUGACGGGAACAACCUCGACCACUUUUCCAAAAGGACGGCUAAACUGCUCAAUAAAAAUAAGCCAAACUCAGACUUGGUGUUGGACAUGAGAGGCACUCUCAAACUGUUGUGGAAGAAUUAAGCAGAGUAUAUCAAUUAGAUCAGUUUAAGUAUAAUUAAAUAUUUCAAUUUUUAUUUCAAAUGGUUGACCCAAGUUUUGAAAUUUUUGUUAAUUUGAAUUUUUCUUUGUUCUGAAAUAGUUUUAAUCUAUUACUAUCGUGUAAUGCAGAAUAAUGUGAGUUGGGUUUUGUGAUUCUUUGCAUAUGAACGGUAGGGCUUUUAUCCAUAAAAAAUGUUGUGAAUGUUCAUAAUGUAAAGUGAAAUAAACAUUCUCAAAAAGA